rnacentral:rRNA from 1 species
UACGUAGGGGGCUAGCGUUGUCCGGAUUUAUUGGGCGUAAAGAGCGUGUAGGCGGCCAUGUAGGUCCGGUGUGAAAACUCGAGGCUUAACCUCGAGAUGUCAUCGGAAACCAUUUGGCUAGAGUCCGGAAGAGGAGAGUGGAAUUCCUGGUGUAGCGGUGAAAUGCGUAGAUAUCUGGAGGAAUACCGGUGGCGAAGGCGGCAUCCUGGACCGACAUUGACGCUGAUGAGCGAAAGCUAGGGGAGCAAACGGG